rnacentral:rRNA from 1 species
CCUACGGGGGGCAGCAGUGGGGAAUAUUGCACAAUGGGGGAAACCCUGAUGCAGCGACGCCGCGUGAGUGAAGAAGUAUUUCGGUACGUAAAGCUCUAUCAGCAGGGAAGAAAUAAAGUCCUUUGGACUUUGGACGGUACCUGACUAAGAAGCCCCGGCUAACUACGUGCCAGCAGCCGCGGUAAUACGUAGGGGGCAAGCGUUAUCCGGAUUUACUGGGUGUAAAGGGAGCGUAGACGGCAGGGCAAGUCUGGAGUGAAAGCCCGGGGCCCAACCCCGGGACUGCUUUGGAAACUGCCAUGCUA